rfam:Lactobacillus coleohominis DSM 14060 Scaffold442, whole genome shotgun sequence.
AAAUAUAGAAGAGGAUGCAGUCGUCAUGAGUAAUCAUCGUUAAUAAUGGGCAAACAGUGACGAUGAGUGAAAGGGACGACUGCCGAAACCAUAACUAGUUUGUCCUGGUUAAGGGUUGGGACGUAAUGCGAAAGCUUGCGGACUGUCGUAAGAAAACUUACGGGGCGCUUCAAGAAUU